rnacentral:rRNA from 1 species
AGUGAACGCUGGCGGUAGGCCUAACACAUGCAAGUCGAACGGCAGCACAGUAAGAGCUUGCUCUUACGGGUGGCGAGUGGCGGACGGGUGAGGAAUACAUCGGAAUCUACUUUUUCGUGGGGGAUAACGUAGGGAAACUUACGCUAAUACCGCAUACGACCUACGGGUGAAAGCAGGGGAUCUUCGGACCUUGCGCGAUUGAAUGAGCCGAUGUCGGAUUAGCUAGUUGGCGGGGUAAAGGCCCACCAAGGCGACGAUCCGUAGCUGGUCUGAGAGGAUGAUCAGCCACAUUGGAACUGAGACACGGUCCAGACUCCUACGGGAGGCAGCAGUGGGGAAUAUUGGACAAUGGGCGCAAGCCUGAUCCAGCCAUACCGCGUGGGUGAAGAAGGCCUUCGGGUUGUAAAGCCCUUUGUUGGGAAAGAAAGGCAGCAGGUUAAUACCCCGCUGUUCUGACGGUACCCAAAGAAUAAGCACCGGCUAACUUCGUG